rnacentral:rRNA from 1 species
UCAAGUGACUAAGUGCAUGUGGCGGAUGCCUUGGCGAUCACAGGCGAAGAAAGACGCGGCAGCCUGCGAAAAGCUGCGGGGAGCUGGCAAACGAGCUUUGAUCCGCAGAUAUCUGAAUGGGGGAACCCACACCGCAAGGUGUAUCCGUAACUGAAUACAUAGGUUACGGAGGCGAACGAGGAGAACUGAAACAUCUAAGUAUCCUCAGGAAAAGAAAUCAACCGAGAUUCCGGCAGUAGCGGCGAGCGAACCCGGAGGAGCCCAGCUUUUGAUAGUACGAACUUUAGCCGAAAGGUCCUGGAAAGGCCUGCUAUAGUGGGUGAUAGCCCCGUAGGCGAAAGAGUUGGUACGGUACUAAGGAAGCGAGAAGUAGAGCGGGACACGUGGAAUCCUGUUCGAAGACGGGGGGACCAUCCUCCAAGGCUAAAUACUCGUGAUCGACCGAUAGUGAACCAGUACCGUGAGGGAAAGGCGAAAAGAACCCCGGGAGGGGAGUGAAAUAGAACCUGAAACCGCAUGCAUACAAACAGUAGGAGCCUCAUCAGAGGUGACUGCGUACCUUUUGCAUAAUGGGUCAGCGACUUACAUUCUGUGGCGAGCUUAACCGAAUAGGGGAGGCGCAGCGAAAGCGAGUUCGAAAUGAGCGUCCAGUCGCAGGGUGUAGACCCGAAACCAGAUGAGCUAUCCAUGGCCAGGUUGAAGGUGUGGUAACACACACUGGAGGACCGAACCGACUAGUGUUGCAAAAUUAGCGGAUGAGCUGUGGAUAGGGGUGAAAGGCCAAACAAAUCUGGAGAUAGCUGGUUCUCCCCGAAAACUAUUGAGGUAGUGCCUCGUGUGUCGCUCCAGGGGGUAGAGCACUGUUUUGGCUAGGGGGACAUGGAGUCUUACCAAACCAAGGCAAACUCCGAAUACCUGGAAGCGUAAGCACGGGAGACAGAGCACCGGGUGCUAACGUCCGGACUCAAAAGGGAAACAACCCAGACCGCCGGCUAAGGUCCCAAAUAACAGCUAAGUGGAAAACGAAGUGGAAAGGCCGUGACAACCAGGAAGUUGGCUUAGAAGCAGCCAUCCUUCAAAGAAAGCGUAAUAGCUCACUGGUCGAGUCCUUCUGCGCGGAAGAUGUAACGGGGCUAAGCUGUUAACCGAAGCCGCGGAUGCGCUGGUUAUCCAGUGCGUGGUAGGGGAGCGUUCUGUAAGUCUGCGAAGGCGGUUCGAGAGGACUGCUGGAGAUAUCAGAAGUGCGAAUGCUGACAUGAGUAACGUUAAAGCAGGUGAAAAGCCUGCUCGCCGUAAGCCCAAGGAUUCCUGCUCUACGUUCAUCGGAGCAGGGUGAGUCGGCUCCUAAGGUCAGGCCGAAAGGCGUAGCCGAUGGGAAUCAGGUUAAUAUUCCUGAACCUGCGUCAGAUGCGAUGGGGGGACGGAGCAUGGAAGAUCAUCCGGGUGUUGGAAGUCCCGGUUGUUGAGCGUAGGAGGUCUGCAGGCAAAUCCGCAGACGCAUCUCCAAGGCAAAGACACGUGCCGCCACGGCGGCGAAGUGAUCGGAAGUGCUUCCAAGAAAAGCCUCUAAGCACCAGUCUGAUGCGGACCGUACCGCAAACCGACACUGGUGGGCGAGCUGAAUAUGCUCAGGCGCUUGAGAGAACUCGGGAGAAGGAACUCGGCAAAUUGACACCGUAACUUCGGAAGAAGGUGUGCCGUAGUACCGUGAGAGGAGAGACACCUUGAGCGGGAAACGGUCUCAGAGAAUAGGUGGCUGCGACUGUUUAUUAAAAACACAGCACUCUGCAAAGUCGAAAGACGACGUAUAGGGUGUGAUGCCUGCCCGGUGCUGGAAGAUUAAUUGAUGGGGUGAGAGCCCUUGAUCGAAGUCCCAGUAAACGGCGGCCGUAACUAUAACGGUCCUAAGGUAGCGAAAUUCCUUGUC